GAUGAAGAACGUAGCGAAAUGCGAUAAGUAGUGUGAAUUGCAGAAUUCAGUGAAUCAUCGAAUCUUUGAACGCAUAUUGCGCCCCAUGGUAUUCCGUGGGGCAUGCCUGUUCGAGCGUCAUUUACCCCCUCAAGCUCCGCUUGGUGUUGGGCGUCUGUCCCGCUUCGCGCGCGGACUCGCCCCAAAGGUAUUGGCAGCGGUCGUGCCAGCUUCUCGCGCAGCACAUUGCGCUUCUCGAGGCACCGGUGGGCCCGCGUCCAUCAAGCUCACCCCCCCAGUUUGACCUCGGAUCAGGUAGGGAUACCCGCUGAACUUAAGCAUAUCAAUAAGCGGAGGA
rnacentral:misc_RNA from 1 species